UGCAGGAACCUACUGCUGUGCAUACAGCUCAUCAGCUCCAACAUGGCUGCCACAUCAUUAAGCCUCUGCUUGGAGAGAAGAUGAGAAAGACAUCGUGAGAGUUUUCAGUAGAGACGCACCAUCACACUGUUCGUGUCAGCCUGGAGCUUGGAUAAGACUGUAUUUGUUGUCGUAGGAAAGUGGGACAGAAGGAUGUACAGUAUAUCCAGUGAGCAACUGCUUUAGUUACAUGAUACAAUGGCAUGAGGGACAUGGACAGCUCGCUCUGCUAUGAAGGAUCCCAUCGAUCAGUGUGUCAGCGCUAAGGGAAAAGGUUAAGGCCCAUUGCGUUGCCUCGUUCCGCUCACCGACAAUCCUGCUCUUAUCAGGAUGUGAAAGAGCAGCAAAGGGCAGGCCAUUCCCAGGACAGCCGCUGACCUUCACUAAUCACACACCUCACUCACUUUCUAGCCAUAAUUAACACCCAGCCAGAACAGAUGGCUCUGUACUCAAACAAAGAGCGCGCAAACGUGCAGAGAGAAAAUCAAGGGGAGACGCUCCUGGUUGGGAGAGGUUUGAAAUCGUCUUUAUAUAUACCUACAAAAAGAUGCUGAGUCAAUGAUCCCACAGUAAAUGUUAUGAGCAUGGGGCGAAUACACGGUUUUUAAUUGCUGGACUAAGCUUUUGGAAUGCACACCACAUUCAGUCUAAUUCGUUUUUUACACCACAUAUAUAUCACAGAUAAGAGCUGGUGCACUCUGAUUCACAUUAGAAACACAUUACCUGUACAGACAUAUACUGUAUAAAAGUCUUCGCUUAAUGUUGUAUAUGUCAGGAGAUAUCAAAGCACUAUUCUGUUUGGCAAUAGCUAUAAAGUCAUGGCACUACAUUAUGGAUGCUUGGUUAAAAGAGAUCAGUACAACUGUGUGCAUAUGUGGUUUAAAAGUCUAAAAUAAAAUUUCUGAUCUUUUUUCAUUUAAAAUCUGAAAUAAAUGAAAGGAUUUAACAUAUUCAAUUAUUUAAAACAAAGUAAGUGAGUGUUCAGGAUUCUGUACUAUUUCUACUGUAGGUCCCAUUUACUGUAAAUGUAAGCAUAUUUGUGAUAUUGGCCAUGUUCACUGCUGCGUACAAAAGGCCAGAUUUUCCUUGCUUAAUCCCUUCUAUUAAAGUACUUUGGAUUGGAUCUAAAAUGGAUCAUAGGGUUUUGCACAAAAUUGUGGAGUCUAUGCCAGCUCUACAAGCCCUCUGCCAGCAAAGCAAA